ensembl:lncRNA
AGGGUGAAGGGAGGAAGGGGGGAAGACAGAGGGAGACAGAGAGAAGUUUGCACAGGAAGCUGAGGCAGAUCUUUCCUCAAGGGAUUUUUUUUUUUUUAAACAAAGGGAGCGUUGUGUUGAGAAAGGAUCGAGGAGCAAAAAAAAAAUUGCCAAGGGACACUGCAGCCCGCCGAGGUUGGUGCCCGUGGGUGUCUGCUCUCUGGGUGGCCGGGGCCUUCCUCCUGCACUGGUGAGAGGGACAGGCUCGGGCUGUGACAUCACUGGUGAGAGAAGCACAGAGAGGUCUGAGCAUUCCAGUGGCCCCUGCCUCUUCUCUGCCUGGUCCCCUGACUGCCUCUUCCCUGCAGGAAGCCAAAGAGAGGAUGCGGACAGCGACUGGGAACCCUUUUAGGGCACUUCCGAAUCUGAGUGGGAGGUCCUCUCCCAAGGGACAGAUGAGCUACCCGAAGGAUGAGCACUUGUCCCGCCAGCUCUAGGGAGGGCUAAAAUACUUUCGUGUCGUAUGAGACAGGGACCCUCUGUGGGAGCAGGCAAUUUCCAGACACCCGGACUGCUCCCUAAUCCAGCCUGUGUGUAACGAAGCCAGCAGGUGCUGUGCAUCACCCUUUCCGUGGCCUGCCCUGGCUGCCACCACCCUCAGCUCCGACCUGAGCUCGGGCCCCCAGGAUCCUGAUCUUUCCCUUCUGGUCAGUUCAGCAGCUGCCCCGGGUUCCCAGCCUGCCCUUCGGGGAGGCGUCUCCAGGUGCCCUAAGCAGCCACUGCCUCCACUGUCCCAGAGACAGCACUUCCUAAGCGGAGGCCUUACCAGCAUCCCCAGGGUUCCUCACUAAUGUUCAAGUCCUUCCAGGCAGACCUCUCUUUGAGGGAUCCCCCUGAUGUGGGACAAACCUCUCUGGUCCCCCAAGUUGUCUCAAUGUGAGGAACAUUGAACUUCCUUUCUGGCCCUGCUCAUCACGUCCAAUGCUCUGCCCUCCAAACAGAAGGAAGCAUUGUGACCUCAUCCCUGACCGCACCCGCUGCCCUGAAAUUCUACCUGCAGCUUCAAGAGAUGGUAUACUUCCGCCUUUCUGUUAUGACACUAAUGUGCUCAACUUCUUACAACUUGUAGAGCCACGAUGGGAUUUCUGGAGGAAAUGUUCAAUUGAGGAGAGUGGCGAGGAGGAGAAGCAGAACGUGGGGGCCUGCUCUUGUUUCCCGACUCACACCCAGAUGGAGCAAAGAGAGCCAGGAAAAGCAAAUUCAGGCAGACCGCAAGGAUGCAAAGAAAGCACUUCUCCAGCCCAGAUAGAGCAUGGGGCCAGCACCAGCGACACCACCAUUGUGCCAACAGCCCCUGCCAACCAUGGCUGGCAUCCCAGAUGCUUGCAAAUUGAAGGCGAAGACACAGGAGGCCUCUGGCUGCCCGCAGGCUCCAUUUCCCCACUCUGUGUGUCUUCGUCCCUUCAUAAAAGCAAUUUCCAAGCUACUUCCCUGCAGAGCAUUAGCAUAAAAGAGGUCUGGCAGUACCAUCCUGUUUCUUUUAUUUGAAGCACAUGCUCAUUAUAGACUUUCUUUCAAAUAAAUCAUAUUGCUGGCUGCAAAGGAGAAUAUUUCUCUGGGCUCACGUGACACGCCGACAAGAAACCACAGCACCAUGGUCUCUGUGUCAUGGCAGGCACGAGGACCCUGUGCCUCUCUCAAAUCUGCAAAGGGCCUGGACUACAGCUAGGUUUCCACCUUGUUCCUAAACGAAUACCAUGAUCCACAGGUACAUCUUCUGCGGGAAACAUUACUUUGCAUGCACCUGCCCUGCUUGAAGAGGCUGGGAGGUGAGGCUGUGGGGCAGCAGGGGCAGGAUGGCCAGAAUGCCCUGGAAGGCUGUGUAAGGCAGUUGUCGCAGACAGAGGUGAGCCGGCACCAGAGCACAGAGCCUUCUGAUUCCAACCCCAAUACUCUCCACCAGCCAUUCUGUAUCAUUAUUGGUACCCCAGUCCUUGUGCUGGAGGCCCCCAAAUUCCAACAUGCCUCCAACGGCUGUGUGUAAUUUACCAACAGGCUACUCAGUAAACUCAUGGUAACCA